rnacentral:SRP_RNA from 1 species
GGGCUGGAAGGCAGCAGCCCUCACAA